rnacentral:lncRNA from 1 species
AUGGGGCCGCUGGGCGGCAGCCAAGGAUGCUGCGUCUCAGCUUCUUCAAGAGAAGCCCGGAGCCAGGCGUCCUGCAUGAAGACGUGGAUGAGACAGUGGGAGCAAACUGUGAGUCCUGAUUCAUCCAGACACAUCCUCAAAGCAGGUGCAUCAGCAGAGCCUCUUCUUGGUCCUCAUUUUUCACUGCGGAGUUGCAGCAGCCCAAUCCAGCAGUCACCUGAACAGACUGGCGUAUACAGCAGUGGUCCAGGCAAUGGAAACAUCCUGGAUUAGAGCGGCGGCAGUGGAGAUGGAGAAAGAAGCACAUAUGUGAGAUACAUUUGUAAAGCAGAAGCCACAGGGCCUGGGAUGAGCUGGCUGUGGAGGAUGAAGGAGAAAUAGAAACUUGGAAGUCACUGGCCUCUAGGGAGAUGGGAUGAUCUAAGGAAAGAGUGAGUGCAGAGGCAGAGAGAAAAAGGCUUGACAUUUCCAUGCAGAGGUUGAACAGAGAAGGAACAGUCAAGCCAGUAGAGACAUCUGUAAUACGUAAGUAAGAAAUAGCCAGAGAAGUAGAAGGAAAUCAGAAAUUGUGGCAUCAUAGAAACAAAAGAAGAGUCAUUUAAGGAGCAGUGGUUGGCUGGACCAAAGCUGUCCAGGAGGUCAGAUGGAUGAGACAUGGAAGGGCCCAUUGGAUGUAAGAUCAUGGUGGUCACUGGGGACCACAGCUGGCUGGGGCUGAGCAGUGACCCCCUUUUUUAGAGAAAACAAAUCCUCCCAAGUUUGCUGCAAUCCCCGCCACCACUCCCUACUGUCUAAAGCUCGGUCUGAGUCACUUUUGUUUCCCCUGGUUCCUGAAAGUAUUUAUACUUGCAACACUUGUUCGGGAGCAAUAAGUACUAUAUUGCAGCAUACUUAUUUAUUUAUUUACUUUUAUUUUGUUGGCGGCACCGCACAGCUUGUAGGAUCUCAGUUCCCCCACCAGUGAUGGAAUGUGUGACAUUGGCAGAGAAAGCACCAGGUCCAAACCACUGGACUGCCAGGGAAUUCCCUGCAACAUAAUUCUAAAAAGGUGAUUUUUAAAUUUCUACUAGACACAGAAAGCAUACAAUGUAACCAUGUUCGUUGUUAAUUAUAUUACUUUUCCUAUCCUGUCCUCCAUGAAGCUCCAUGGGUUGCUCCAGGUUCUUUCCCUUCUCUGAUUGAUUGCAACUGACUUACAAGUCCUGCCUCUGUCCUGUGAUUUGACCUCUCUGCCCCAUGCCUGGGUUUCCCUGAUGGCUCAGCAGUUAAGAAUCCACCUGCCAAUGCAGAAGAUGAGAGUUCAGUCCCUGGGUCAGGAAGAUCCCCUGGUGAAGGACAAUAGCUACCCACUCCAGUAUUCUUGCUCAGGAAAUCCCAUGGACAGAGGAACCACUCAGGCUACAGUUGAAAAGGUUGCAAAGAGUCAGACACAACUAAGCAACUGAGCAUGCACACACCCCGGUGCCUGCCUGAAUCCUACCCACCUUCUACUCCAGCUCAGUUCCCUACUUGCGCACAAAGCCUUCCCAGCCCUCUCCAGCCUGCAAUGAGUCAGUCAUUCUCUGGGCUCCUAUAAAACUUCCAAGUUAUGCCACUUAUUAGGUGAUUAAUCUUGCUCUAUGUCGACUUGAAAUAUUGUGCAAUGUGACAGUUGCGAGUCACAUUUUAUUGGGGGGCAAAAUGAGGACUGCAGCCUGAAGACAGCACUUGCGUUAGCUCUGAGGAACUGCUCCAGAGAGGCAGGGGGAGCGUUAGUGUGUAUGUGAUUUUGGUAAAGGGGGACUACAUGCACAAUGCAAUCAAAGCACGUAUAUUUUGCAGAAGCUUUCUGCUGGUCAUGAGGAGCAGUCAUCAUCAUGAAGGAUUUUAACGCUUUUCUAGAUAUGAGGAGGUACAAGAUUUAGGCUCAUAAAAUCGGCUUCUGAACAUAUCCAACUCCCUGAAGACCCCCCAUCAGCCCAACAGAGAGUGCCUCAUUUCUGCUCUCCACUUUGAACUCCUUUCAGGGGUUGUUGAAAAUCAGCAGCUGCAGCAGCACAUGAUUUAAUCCUUGUAGAGGUGGAUGGCAAGCGCCCAUGACAAGUGCCAAUUUGUAACUGACGUACUGAAUUAAAAUUUAUUAUAAAAGGGUAGCCUUAUAUAUCCUUUUAAAAAAUGAGAAUUCCAAAGUCUUAGAGUUAAGCAAUGAGUCUUCCACAUUAUAAAGCUAUUUAUAACAGUAAUUAAAGUAGUGGUAACAUUUUACCUUUAUAAAAAUGUCACAGAAUUCAAAUCACAGCUUGAAUCCUCAAUGAUGCAAGUGUCUUACACAAUGAAGGCUUGGUCAGUUUUAAGAUAAAAUUCUUCCAUCUUCCAGAAUGUCUCACAAAAGAGCUGAAUAUACCUCUAUGAGGACAGAAGGCAAGGAUGCUAGCUGUGUGAAUUCUCUCUUCUCGUGUGAAUCCUAAAACUGAUCCUAAUCAAUCAAUCCUAAUCAAUUAACAGCAAAUCCUUAUCAAUCAAUGGAAAGGAGCUUAAUGAGAAGACCAAUAAGGUCCACUUUCAAUAUGGAAAAUGCAAAAUUGUGUUUCCCUUCUAUCUCUAUGUUUCCUUAAGAAACAGGUUUUUAAAAAAUCAAAACAAAAACAGGACCUAAGCAGAAGUCUGCUGUGGAGAAUUCUAGAAAACAUUUCGCUUCCCUGACUAAAGGAAACAGAUCAGGUUGGUAGCAUCUGGGCUCUUCCUCCUUUCUCCCUGCCUUGAAUGCAGAUGCAUCAACCGGAGCUGCAGCCACUCUCUUGAGAUCAUGAAGUGACAAGUACGAGAAUGCAAACCAAUGCUCCAGGGCUGAUGGGUCAGGAAGCCCAAGAGAACAUGGGUCCCCAAGGGCAUCAAUGACUUGCUGAACCAACAUCAACCUCCAGGCUUCUAGGUGUGCAAGAAAAUAAAUCCCUAUUUGUUUAAGCA